rnacentral:rRNA from 1 species
AACGAACGCUGGCGGCAGGCCUAACACAUGCAAGUCGAGCGAGAUCUUCGGGUCUAGCGGCGGACGGGUGAGUAACGCGUGGGAAUAUGCCCUUCUCUGCGGAAUAGCCUCGGGAAACUGAGCGUAAUACCGCAUACGCCCUUUGGGGGAAAGAUUUAUCGGAGAAGGAUUAGCCCGCGUUGGAUUAGGUAGUUGGUGGGGUAACGGCCUACCAAGCCGACGAUCCAUAGCUGGUUUGAGAGGAUGAUCAGCCACACUGGGACUGAGACACGGCCCAGACUCCUCCGGGAGGCAGCAGGGGGGAAUUUUAGAAAAUGGGGGCAACCCUGAUCUAGCCAGGCCGGGUGAGUGAUGAAGGCCUUAGGGUUGUAAAGCUCUUUCAGCUGGGAAGAUAAUGGCGGUACCAGCAGAAGAAGCCCCGGCUAACUCCGU